rnacentral:rRNA from 1 species
CGGUUGAUCCUGCCGGACCCGACUGCUAUCAGAGUGGGACUAAGCCAUGCGAGUCAACGCAGCAAUGCGUGGCAUACGGCUCAGUAACACGUAGUCAACAUGCCCAGGGGACGUGGAUAACCUCGGGAAACUGAGGAUAAACCGCGAUAUGCCAAGGUUUCUGGAAUGGACAUUGGCUGAAACCUACAUGGCCCCUGGAUUGGACUGCGGCCGAUCAGGCUGUUGGUGAGGUAAUGGCCCACCAAACCUGUAACCGGUACGGGCUUUGAGAGAAGGAGCCCGGAGAUGGGCACUGAGACAAGGGCCCAGGCCCUAUGGGGCGCAGCAGGCGCGAAACCUCUGCAAUAGGCGAAAGCUUGACAGGGUUACUCUGAGUGAUGCCCGCUAAGGGCAUCUUUUGGCACCUCUAAAAAUGGUGCAGAAUAAGGGGUGGGCAAGUCUGGUGUCAGCCGCCGCGGUAAUACCAGCACCCCGAGUGGUCGUGACGGGAUGAUAGCACCUAAAGCAUCCGUAGCUUGUUCUGCAAGUCCUCCGUUAAAUCCACCUGCUCAACAGAUGGGCUGCGGGGGAUACUACAGGGCUAGGAGGCGGGAGAGGCAAACGGUACUCAGUGGGUAGGGGUAAAAUCCUCUGAUCCACUGA